rnacentral:rRNA from 1 species
GAGGAAUAUUGGUCAAUGGGCGUGAGCCUGAACCAGCCAAGUAGCGUGCAGGAUGACGGCCCUAUGGGUUGUAAACUGCUUUUAUACGGGGAUAAAAGGGUGAACGUGUUCUCCUUUGCAGGUACCGUAUGAAUAAGGACCGGCUAAUUCCGUGCCAGCAGCCGCGGUAAUACGGAAGGUCCUGGCGUUAUCCGGAUUUAUUGGGUUUAAAGGGAGCGCAGGCUGCACUUUAAGCGUGUUGUGAAAUGUACCGGCUCAACCGGUAACGUGCAGCGCGAACUGGAGUGCUUGAGUACGAAGAGGGAAAGCGGAACUCGUGGUGUAGCGGUGAAAUGCUUAGAUAUCACGAGGAACUCCGAUCGCGAAGGCAGCUUUCCGUUUCGGAACUGACGCUGAGGCUCGAAAGUGCGGGUAUCGAACAGGAUUAGAUACCCUGGUAGUCCGCACGGUAAACGAUGGAUGCUCGCUGUUGGAUAUUUUUAUUCAGUGGCUAAGUGAAAACGUUAAGCAUCCCACCUGGGGAGUACGCCGGCAACGGUG